AAAUUGAAGAGUUUGAUCAUGGCUCAGAUUGAACGCUGGCGGCAGGCCUAACACAUGCAAGUCGAGCGGCAGCGGGAAAGUAGCUUGCUACUUUUGCCGGCGAGCGGCGGACGGGUGAGUAAUGCCUGGGGAUCUGCCCAGUCGAGGGGGAUAACUACUGGAAACGGUAGCUAAUACCGCAUACGCCCUACGGGGGAAAGCAGGGGACCUUCGGGCCUUGCGCGAUUGGAUGAACCCAGGUGGGA
rnacentral:rRNA from 1 species